GUGGGGAAUAUUGGACAAUGGGCGAAAGCCUGAUCCAGCCAUGCCGCGUGUGUGAAGAAGGUCUUCGGAUUGUAAAGCACUUUAAGUUGGGAGGAAGGGCAGUAAGUUAAUACCUUGCUGUUUUGACGUUACCGACAGAAUAAGCACCGGCUAACUUCGUGCCAGCAGCCGCGGUAAUACGAAGGGUGCAAGCGUUAAUCGGAAUUACUGGGCGUAAAGCGCGCGUAGGUGGUUCAGCAAGUUGAAGGUGAAAUCCCCGGGCUCAACCUGGGAACUGCCUCCAAAACUGCAUGACUAGAGUACGGUAGAGGGUAGUGGAAUUUCCUGUGUAGCGGUGAAAUGCGUAGAUAUAGGAAGGAACACCAGUGGCGAAGGCGACUACCUGGACUGAUACUGACACUGAGGUGCGAAAGCGUGGGGAGCAAACAGGAUUAGAUACCCCGGUAGUCC
rnacentral:rRNA from 1 species